CCUAAACCUAAUAAUUUCCUAACAAAAUUAUUCGCCAGAGAACUACAAGCCAGAGCUUAAAACUCAAAGGACUUGGCGGUGCUUUAUACCCGCCUAGAGGAGCCUGUUCUAUAAUCGAUAAACCCCGAUAAACCUUACCACUCUUUGCCAACUCAGCCUAUAUACCGCCUCCUUCAGCAAACAA
rnacentral:rRNA from 1 species